rnacentral:rRNA from 1 species
AUUGAACGCUGGCGGCAUGAUUUACACAUGCCAGUCGAACGGUAACAGGCCGCAAGGUGCUGACGAGUGGCGAACGGGUGAGUAAUGCAUCGGAACGUGCCCAGUCGUGGGGGAUAACUACUCGAAAGAGUAGCUAAUACCGCAUACGAACUAUGGAUGAAAGCGGGGGACCGUAAGGCCUCGCGCGAUUGGAGCGGCCGAUGUCAGAUUAGGUAGUUGGUGGGGUAAAGGCUCACCAAGCCAACGAUCUGUAGCUGGUCUGAGAGGACGACCAGCCACACUGGGACUGAGACACGGCCCAGACUCCUACGGGAGGCAGCAGUGGGGAAUUUUGGACAAUGGGCGCAAGCCUGAUCCAGCAAUGCCGCGUGCAGGAAGAAGGCCUUCGGGUUGUAAACUGCUUUUGUACGGAACGAAACGGCUCUGGUUAAUACCCGGGGCUAAUGACGGUACCGUAAGAAUAAGCACCGGCUAACUACGUG